rnacentral:rRNA from 1 species
AUUGAACGCUGGCGGCAGGCUUAACACAUGCAAGUCGAACGCCCUAGCAAUAGGGAGUGGCGCACGGGUGAGUAACAUGUGGGAAUAUGCCUUUUGGUACGGAACAACGUUUGGAAACGAACGCUAAUACCGUAUGGUCCCUCCGGGGUAAAGAUUUAUCGCCAAAAGAUUAGCCCGCACUAGAUUAGCUAGUUGGUAAGGUAAUGGCUUACCAAGGCGACGAUCUAUAGCUGUUCUGAGAGAAAGAUCAGCCACACUGGGACUGAGACACGGCCCAGACUCCUACGGGAGGCAGCAGUUAGGAAUAUUGGACAAUGGGCGCAAGCCUGAUCCAGCCAUGCCGCGUGAGUGAUGAAGGCCUUCGGGUUGUAAAGCUCUUUAGCCGACGAAUAUAAUGACUGUAGUCGGAGAAUAAGCCCCGGCUAACUUCGUGCCAGCCGCCGCAGUAACAC